GAUGAACGCUAGCGGCAGGCCUAAUACAUGCAAGUCGAACGGUAACAUGAGAGCUUGCUCUUGAUGACGAGUGGCGCACGGGUGCGUAACGCGUAUGCAACCUACCCUUUACAGGGGGAUAGCCCGGAGAAAUUCGGAUUAAUACCCCAUAGUACUAUAAUGUAGCAUUAUAUAAUAGUUAAAGAUUUAUUGGUAAAGGAUGGGCAUGCGUGACAUUAGUUAGUUGGUAAGGUAAUGGCUUACCAAGACUAUGAUGUCUAGGGGUUCUGAGAGGAAGAUCCCCCACACUGGUACUGAGACACGGACCAGACUCCUACGGGAGGCAGCAGUAGGGAAUAUUGGUCAAUGGACGAGAAGUCGUGAACCAGCCAUGCCGCGUGCAGGAAGACGGCCUUCGUGGGUUGUAAACUGCUUUUAUAUAGGAACAAAUAGACCAUGCGUGGUAAGUUGAGUGUACUAUAUGAAUAAGCACCGCUAACU
rnacentral:rRNA from 1 species